AGACAUUUUGCCCUCCACCGCUCCCACAUCAAAAAAAUCUAGGUUAGAGAGAUGGAUAAACAGAGAUAGAAGCACGACAGAGACAGAGAGAGAGAGAGGAGCGGCGGAGAUGGAGGAACCGGGUCUCCCGUCGGUCACCCUCUUGGCCUUCGGUCAGACCGGUGGCGGGUUGUGGUGGUUAACUUCAUAUAGAAAAAGAAAAGCUGAGGAAUCAAAAGGUACGGUGGUGGUUGGCGCCGGCGGUAUCCGUGGGCGGAGGCCAUCCUGUACUCCGAAGAUGGGAACUACGAUGGCGGUAGCGAUAUUUCUGGCGGUGGCUAGGGUUCAGUUCCGACGACGGUGGUCGUGUGGUUGACUGGUUGUGGUGGAAAAUUCUGGCCGAAGAGGUGCCUGCCAGCGAUGCAUCUCCUAUUUCUAUUUCUGUUUUAUACACAUGAUAACAAGGUUUCAUCCUCUCACCCCAAAUCCUUUUCAGUUUCUUGCGACAUGGCUAGCCAAUCAACGAAUUCAUCGGCGGCGGCAGAAGAUCACCCGACGGUGUUACGUUCUAAUUCGCUCAGAAGGUUUGGUAAUGCCUUUCUACAACACAUAUUGUUCCUGAGAAGGCUAGCAGUGUUACCCCAGCAGCUCCGCCUUCACAAUUCGUUAGGGUUUCAUACCGAUAAAAGGUGUCUCUAUUUAUCAAGUGGAUUCUACUGAAUCUGUAAAUGAUCAACCACCGGUUGAAGAGAACCUUGAUCGAGGUGCAUCUUCACUGGUCCUUCAUCUCACGUGUCCUCAAAACGGCAAAAGGUUUUCUUAAAUCAAGAUUUAUAUACGUUUUUUCGUUACAUUGUUGAGAAGGGCAGGUUGCAGGAAGAUGACGGUCGUAAUUUCUUUAAGCAGAUAAUUUGUGGUGUGGAGUAUUGCCACUGGAACAUGGUGGCUCAUAGAGAACUUAAACCUGAGAACUUGCUGUUGGAUUCCAAGUGCGGUGUCAAAAUUGCUGAUUUGGUCUAAGCAAUAUCAUGCGUAAUGGUCAUUUUCUCAAAACAAGUUGUGGAAGUCCAAAUUACGCUGCCCCUGAGGGCUAUAUCUGGCGAACUGUGUGCUGGACCUGAGGUUGAUGUGUGGAGCUGGGGUGUUAAAUUUAUAUCCUUUUCUCUGUGGCACAUUUCCUUUUGAUGAUAAAAAUAUUCCAAAUCUCUUUAAGAAGAUUAAGGUGCUUUCAAAGAUAGUUUUUUACAUGGAAACUUUUAAAAUAUUCUUUGAAAGUAUGGAAACAGUUGUUAACUAUUUAAAAAAUAUUUUGGGUUGUUGUUCAGGGUGGUAUACAAUGAUAUAUACACUUCCUAGCUACUUAUCACCUGGUGCAAGAGAUCUAACCUCAGGGAUGCUUGUGGUGGAAGGGUUUGACACCUUUUUUUGGCUUAUCUCAUUAUCUCACCUCUUUGUCCGUAUAUCACUUUUUUGGAUGUGUCUAGCGAUGGAUUUCUCUGAUGAUCUUGUGCUAAAAACGGUCCGAUGAUGGAGAUGACGGAGGGUCUUGGUUCUACGAUGGUAAACCGUAUGUUGGUGGCUUUGGUUGUGGAAAGUGCUCCGGUUAUGGUCAUCUUGGUGCAUCUUUGAGUCAUGACUUUUGGAGCUUAUGCCGAGUUUGCUAUGGUGCCCUUGCUCGACGACGACUAUGAUGUCCUACCUAAUUGGCAGCAACAAUGAUAGACUGAAUAAGAUGGAAAUUGCUUGCUAGGAGAGGAUGAUGUUUCAAGUGUGUCACAUUGGUCUAACCUUUCAUGAACCCAAGCUUAAGCUCCACAUAUCUUAUGUUAAAGGUUUAUCAUAUAAUUGUACCACCAACCAUUUCUUUAACAUUUCAGAGGACCAAACAACCUAUUUUAUAAUAGCCAGACAGGAGUUGGGAAAAUCUAUACACUGCAGGAAGCAGUUAAUUACUUGCUGGUCAGGAACAACAGUCGGCUACUUAAUUUGCCUUUUUGUAGCAUAGGAGAUAAAAUUAUUCAAUCAUAACUAAAAGACUUUAUAAUUUAGUCUUGCCCAAUAUUAUUUGUUGUAUAGGCUAUAUGUACUAUUUUACUAUAUCACGUCUUUAAUAUGAAUGCUGGUGUCGGUAGACUGCCGUUACCAUA